rnacentral:tmRNA from 1 species
GGGGGUGACCCGGUUUCGACAGGGGAACUGCAGGCGAUGUUGCGUGUCGAGGUGCCGUUGGCCUCGUAAAACUACGGCAAAGCCAUUAACUGGCAACCAGAACUACGCUCUCGCUGCUUAAGUGAGACAGUGACCGCGAAGCCCGGCCUUUGGCGCCGCGCGAACUGAACCAAAAGAAGGCUAGCCCAGGCAACGCUCUGUAGCCAAAGGCGAAAGCAAGCAGAGAUAAGGUCCGCGAAAACCCGCCCACUGGUGAGCGCGGCCCCGACAACCAAACAGUGGGAUACACACGUAGACGCACGCUGAACGGACUCUUGGACGGCGGUUCGACUCCGCCCACCUCCACCA